GAUGAAGAACGCAGCGAAAUGCGAUACGUAAUGUGAAUUGCAGAAUUCAGUGAAUCAUCGAGUCUUUGAACGCACAUUGCGCCCCCUGGUAUUCCGGGGGGCAUGCCUGUCCGAGCGUCAUUGCUGCCCUCAAGCCCGGCUUGUGUGUUGGGUCUCGUCCCCCUUCCCGGGGGGACGGGCCCGAAAGGCAGCGGCGGCACCGUGUCCGGUCCUCGAGCGUAUGGGGCUUUGUCACCCGCUCUGUAGGCCCGGCCGGCGCUUGCCGAUCAACCAAAACUUUUUUCCAGGUUGACCUCGGAUCAGGUAGGGAUACCCGCUGAACUUAAGCAUAUCAAAAGCGGAGGA
rnacentral:misc_RNA from 1 species